UUAAAAGUCACUCUUUUUCCGUUGUCUGCUGAAGGUCAGUAGCUUUUGAUCUAUCGACACCCCCCACCCACAAAAAAAAAAAACGCAAGCAAACAGACAGAAUCCAAGGAUCUCUCUCUCAAUUUAGUUGGUCUUCUGUAUAAUAGAGCUAAUUAGGGUAAAUUACAAGAAACAAAGAAAUGGAUCCUGUUGCAGCACAUGGUCGUCCUCUUCCACCUCCUUUCCACACCAGAGAUCUUCAUUUACAUCCUUACCAUCAAUUUCAACACCACCAACAGCAGAAUUCUGACGAAGAACAAAGUGGUAACGGGAGCUUAGGCCGUGGUCAAAAGCGAGAGCACGAUGAGAUCACUACCACCACCGCCCAAGCCACUAACACUAACACUGCUGAAGGAAAAGAACUAGUUCGCGCAGCAGCUGGUGGAGAUGAAGAGAUCACAAGAAGACCCCGAGGAAGACCUUCCGGGUCCAAGAACAAGCCGAAACCACCGAUCAUAAUCACCAGAGAUAGCGCCAAUGCCCUUCGAUCCCAUGUUAUGGAAAUCGCCAACGGCUGCGAUAUUAUGGAGAGUUUAUCAACUUUUGCAAGGCGGAGGCUAAGAGGGGUUUGCAUUUUGAGUGGAACUGGAACGGUAACUAACGUCACACUUAGGCAGCCGGCUUCACCUGGAGCAGUGGUAACUUUACAUGGAAGAUUCGAGAUUUUAUCGCUUUCAGGGUCUUUCUUGCCACCUCCAGCGCCACCAGCUGCGUCGGGCUUGACCAUAUAUUUAGCCGGUGGUCAAGGGCAAGUGAUUGGAGGUGGUGUGGUGGGUCCUCUUCUCGCAUCUGGGCCGGUGGUGAUUAUGGCUGCUUCUUUUGCUAAUGCGGCAUAUGAGAGGUUGCCGUUGGAGGAGGAUGACGGGCAGGAGCCAGUGCCUGGAAGUGGGCCUCUAGGCUCACCUGGAAUUGUCGGCCAACCGCAGCAACCACCACAGCAGCAGCACGAGCAACAACUAAUGCAAGAUCCAAACCCAUCCCUUUUUCAAGGGUUGCCACCCAAUCUACUAAAUUCAGUGCAACUGCCAGCUGAGGCCUACUGGGGCACUGCACGCCCUCCUUAUUAGUAACGGAAAAGAAAAUGCGUUUUUCUUCUUCUUUUUUCACGUUUUUUUUCGUCUUUUGUUUCUUCGUUUCUAAAUUAUCAAUCCUGAUUAUUCUUCUUCUUCCUUAGUUAGGAUAUGUUCAAGAUGUUGAUGAUCGUGGUAUUAAUCUGCCUUUGAUUGAAGAAGGGUGUACAAAUUUAUGAUUUCUUUUUUUCUU
rnacentral:misc_RNA from 1 species